AGGACUCGCUGCCCAGUCGGGUUGCGCUGCGAAGGGCUGCGGCUUGGCAGGCGCGUGGUGCGGUCAGCACGGGCUGCGUUGGGCCUUGAGCAUCGCUGUGAGGCAGAGCCUCAAGGCACAUAAAUGAACUGGAGGGAGACAAGAUGAAAGGAGAACUGAUUCCAAUUUCAUAAUUAAUUUUUUAGCUGGUGAAUGAGAUAAUGUGCUGAUCAUCUUUCCAGCUGGAAUGCUCUUUUACUGGUUUAAUGAGGGUCAUAGGAUUUUUUUUUUCCUCAUACCUCUUAUGUUUGACUUUCAAAUAAAGCAAAUGUAGUAAUAUGUUGAUUGUUUUCUUCUGCUUUUCUUUUUUGUUCUUCCCUUGCAAGCCCUGUGGGAUCACCACUUCAGUAUUCCAGAAGGAAGCAAUGGAAGACUUCAGUUACCUGUGAACAGACUUGUCCUAUGAAGUAUUACAGCACGUACGUAAGAUUUCAGAAGUAAUUGGUUUUUGAAGUGAAAACUCAGGUUAAUCCCAAGAACAGAAGACCUUGUCGGAAUAUGCUGGAGAAACAUCACUGUAAUAGUGACUGUUUCAGAAAAAAAGCAACCUUGUAGUUGCUGUUUGCUCUAGUGGAUAAUCUAUUCCUGAAUAGAUCUUCAGUGCCAAAGGAAUAUAAAGUGACAAAUACCAUUUCAGUCUGUGAAACAAUCUCUCUGUUUCCUGAGCACUACAAAACAGAUCUUUCUCAGAGUUUUCUGCUGUUCUGCCAGCUCUGCUGUUUGUCAGGCUUUGCAGGAGAAAGCCAGCUGUCCUGUUAAAUUACCAGUCUUUUCAAGAGGAAGUCAACUUCAGCGUUCUUUUAACUGAUAGAUAAACCUACACUGCCAGAAACAAAAAAAAUAAAGAAAGAAAGAAAAAAACUUGUACAACUGUACUCAAUAUCUAGCUUCAUGACUACAAAUGCUCUCAUAGUUGUGUGAGGAUGAGAAAUAUCUAAAAUUUGUCUAUAUCGUCAUAAAUAUUGUAAGCACAUUGCUUCUGUGUUUCUUUUUUUCACUGUUACAGGGCAGUAAGCACCUGAAGAAGUGGUUUCUUACUCUUACUGAAUUAUAUAGAAUCACAGAAUGGCUUAGAUUGGAGGGGAUCUUAAAGGUCAUCUAGUUCCAACCCUCCUGCCGUGGGUUGCCUAUCACUAGAGCAGGCUGCCCAGGAUCCCAUCCAACCUGGCCUUGAAUGCUUCCAGAGAUGGGCCAUCCACAACCUAACAUCUAACCUCAAUCUCUCCUCUCUUAGUUUUUAGCCAUUGCCCCUUUCCUGCCACUACUAGACUGUGUAAAAAGUCCUCAAGUAUAAAAAGCUCCCCGCAGAUACUGUGGAAGACCACCAUGAGGUCUCCCCAGAGCCUUCUCUUCUCCAAGCUAAACAAACACAGUUCCCUCAACCUUUUCUCAUAGGAGAGGUGCUCCAGCCCCUUGAUCAUCUUCAUGGCCCCUCUCUGGAUCCACUUCAACAGCUCUGCAUCCCUCCUGUACUGAGGGCCUCAGGCCUGGAUGCAGUACUCCAGAUGGGGCCUUACAAGGGCAGAGUAGAAGCCACCCAUCCCAUUCCACUGCUUAUACUUUUCCUCUUUUCUGUCAGCUUGGUCGGCAGGUCCUUGCUCAGCCAUGCUGCUUUACUUCCUCAUCUGCCUGAUUUCUUAUUCUGGGAGAUGGAGUCCUCUUGUGCUUGAUGCUUCUUUCAAGAAAAACAUCUUUGUGAUACCCUCUCUUGCUCUUUGGUUGCUAUGGUUUUGCUGUUUAAAACUAAAAAAGUAAAGGAACACUGAUUGUAGCUGGACAUAAUUACUUUCAGGUUUUACUUUUGUUUGUACAUGAGAUUGAAUUAAUCAUUACAUUGGUUUCUUCUACUGUAUAAGCAUGCCCAUAUACCUUGUAAUGUAGCUUGGUUUUAAGUCCAUUUAAAACAAGAAAUGAAAAGUAUAUU
ensembl:lncRNA